AUUUGGGGUUGUGGAAUCAAUUGAAUUGGCAUAGAGACUCACAACAGUGAGGGCUGGAAUAUCCAAAGUUACCUGGAGGCUCAGCUUGUCUCACUGGCCUCAUAAAGAGAGAAAUUAUGGGUUUCCAGAAAUUGUAUUUUAUAGCUAUUACUAUUAGCAUUAUACAUUUUUAAUUUAUUUUCAUUUUGUUUUGAUAAGAUAAUAUCAAAUGACCCUUGAAGAGUUACAAAACUUAAAUGCACCCUUUCAGGUAGGAAUUGGCCAGGUGAACUUUCAAAAUAUUCAUCUGGGUAAUUUGAUUUUCUUUUUGAAGAUUGAUUUUUCAGUGAAAAUCCUUUUAAUUCUAUAAAAUAGCAAUGAAGAUUAAAUUCUUUUUAAAUUGUCACUUCUUAAUGGAAUUAGAAACAAAUUGUGAAUGCAUCAGAGAAAUGAACAAAAGAGAUACAUGUUAGAAACUGACAGAGUUUAGGUAAGUCUAAUUAGACAUUCAAUUCUUUGGACUUUGGCUCCUAGACUAAAGAAAAUGCAGCUUAUGUUCAUAGCUAAUUAUUCUUUUUUGCUUUCAGGAGUAUGAAAAGAGAGGAAGACAGCUGCUGGAUCUGGAAACUUUCAAAUGCAUAAUGAAACAGAGUAUGAGGUCACAGAAUAAAGGUAGCUUCCGCACGUAUCUGCAGCUAGAGUAUUUGGAGCGAGCUAAUGCUUUGGCCCGACAGAAAGAGGUUUCCUCCCUGCUGCCUGCUGCGCUGCGGAGGCUGUCAUAUGGGGGUCCCGUGCUGCGCAUCCUCUCUAUGCCUGACGACACCUUAAUCAUGAUCAGAGAAGAUGGAGCUAUUUAUUUCUGGUCCCUGCAGCUGAAGUUGAAAAGAAGAAAGCGGGUCUUUGUAUGUGAUUUUCAUUUGAUAAGGAUGCUGAGUGCUACAGUUUGAUUUUAUUUGCUAUUUUAAACUGCUUCUUAAGUGGUGUGAUUACAUAAAUUGUGUCCUUGAAUAUAAUAUAUUCAUGCUGGAUUUUGCUAGUCUGUAGAAUGCAAAUAAAAUAUGAUCUCUCUAUGUAGUGCAAGAUAAAGC
rnacentral:lncRNA from 1 species